rnacentral:rRNA from 1 species
AACGAACGCUGGCGGCAGGCCUAACACAUGCAAGUCGCACGAAGUCUUCGGACUUAGUGGCGCACGGGUGAGUAACACGUGGGAAUAUACCUUACGCUGGGGGAUAACAUCGGGAAACUGAUGCUAAUACCGCAUACGCCCUUCGGGGGAAAGAUUUAUCGGCGAAAGAUUAGCCCGCGUCCGAUUAGCUAGUUGGUGAGGUAAUGGCUCACCAAGGCUCCGAUCGGUAGCUGGUCUGAGAGGAUGACCAGCCACACUGGGACUGAGACACGGCCCAGACUCCUACGGGAGGCAGCAGUGGGGAAUAUUGGACAAUGGGCGCAAGCCUGAUCCAGCCAUGCCGCGUGAGUGAUGAAGGCCUUAGGGUUGUAAAGCUCUUUCACCCACGACGAUGAUGACGGUAGUGGGAGAAGAAGCCCCGGCGAACUUCGU